rnacentral:rRNA from 1 species
CCUGCCNAGCAGAGAGACCCGCGAAC